GUGCCAGCAGCCGCGGUAAUACGUAGGGUGCAAGCGUUAAUCGGAAUUACUGGGCGUAAAGCGUGCGCAGGCGGUUCGGAAAGAAAGAUGUGAAAUCCCAGAGCUUAACUUUGGAACUGCAUUUUUAACUACCGGGCUAGAGUGCGUCAGAGGGAGGUGGAAUUCCGCGUGUAGCAGUGAAAUGCGUAGAUAUGCGGAGGAACACCGAUGGCGAAGGCAGCCUCCUGGGAUAACACUGACGCUCAUGCACGAAAGCGUGGGGAGCAAACAGGAUUAGAUACCCUGGUAGUCCACGCCCUAAACGAUGUCAACUAGCUGUUGGGGCCUUCGGGCCUUGGUAGCGCAGCUAACGCGUGAAGUUGACCGCCUGGGGAGUACGGUCGCAAGAUUAAAACUCAAAGGAAUUGACGGGGACCCGCACAAGCGGUGGAUGAUGUGGAUUAAUUCGAUGCAACGCGAAAAACCUUACCUACCCUUGACAUGUCUGGAA
rnacentral:rRNA from 1 species